rnacentral:rRNA from 1 species
UACAGAGGCCCCAAGCGUUGUUCGGAAUCACUGGGCGUAAAGGGUGCGUAGGCGGCGGUGUAAGUCAGAUGUGAAAUCCCGGGGCUCAACCUCGGAACUGCAUCCGAUACUGCAUUGCUUGAGUACUGGAGGGGAGUCUGGAAUUCACGGUGGAGCAGUGAAAUGCGUGGAUAUCGUGAGGAACACUAGUGGCGAAGGCGAGACUCUGGACAGUAACUGACGCUGAGGCACGAAGGCCAGGGGAGCAAACGGG